rnacentral:rRNA from 1 species
UACGAGGGGGGCGAGCGUUGUUCGGAAUUAUUGGGCGUAAAGGGCGCGUAGGCGGUUCCGCAAGUCCUGUGUGAAAUCUUCGGGCUCAACUCGAAGUCUGCACGGGAAACUGCGGGGCUUGAGUGUGGGAGAGGUGAGUGGAAUUCCCGGUGUAGCGGUGAAAUGCGUAGAUAUCGGGAGGAACCCCUGUGGCGAAAGCGGCUCACUGGACCAUAACUGACGCUGAUGCACGAAAGCUGGGGGAGCAAACAGG